CUUCCCCGUAAGGGUUUUUAUGGAAAUCUGCAUUUUGGUGGCGGCUCCACCGCAGAUGGCGGAUCGAAAAGGAAGCCCCUUCUCUUACUAUUUCUUAACAAGCUUAAAAGAAAACUUUAAAAACGUGGUAGGGAUUUAGAAUCACUUUGGUGGAAUAUGCUUCUUCCAAGUGUACUCAUAUUUCCCGGGAAACAAUUAUCAUUCACAAAUGUUCUAAGAAUUCUUAGAAGAUUCAGAACUAUGAAUGAUAUUGCUGAAGCUGACGAAGAUGUAGAACCCGUAAGGAUGCCUAGUAGCAGUUACAGACAAGGUCCAUCAAACACCCAAAGGGUCUCUGAAACGACCGAGGCCAUCGUCCUGACAGCGUGCACGCUCCCUGCUGUAACUACCCACCAAUGUGAAAUCCACAGUGAGCACAGCCAACUGCUCUGGGUGCCUGUGGAGCUUUAGGUACUAUCGUUAUCUUCUCUGAACAUUAAAUAUGACCAAAUCUUACAAAUGCC
rnacentral:lncRNA from 1 species